AAGGUAACUGAGUUAGCGAACUUGGUUUUAAAUACAAGUUAGUAUGUGAAGCGAAAUAAAUGACAAGUUUUAAAAGUUUGAGGGGUUAAAAGGAAAAUGUGUUAAAUAAAACACUUUACAAAAAAAAGUCAGUAUCUUGGGGGGGGGGUUCUAUGCGUGCGAUCGAGAACAGGGCCAAGAGAAGAGCCAAAAACCCUAACAACCAAAAAUCAUCAAAUUGAUAAGGAGAUCAAGGGAAAAAUCGAAUGCAUGGGUCUGGAUACUCUUUAAUCUAAGUGUAUUGAUCAUAAGGAACGUGUCAAGGAGAGCUCAAGCAUAAGAGGAUAACGGGUCAAGAUAAGGCAAGGUGACAAAUACACUUAUUGGAGUACUCAAGGUUAUGAAUGUCGGACUUUCAAAGUGUUGAUAUAAUAAUGAAACGGUUGAAUCUUGAAAGGAUAAUCGGAUUGAAGUAACUUAUGCGGUUAGAAUAUGCGGUGGACGUUUUAGUUUAUACAACAUUUUAUGUUUGGUCGUCAUCAUCUACCAACGGGUAAAUCCUCAAUUCAGGCGACUUGGAGAAUCGGAGCGAGCGCGUGUUCAUGUUAUGUCGUACCAAACGCUUCCGCUAGUUUGUCCAAAUGUUUUUGGUCCAAAAUUUGUUGUAAUGGUUUUUAGUAGUAUUUUGUUGAACGACUCGUAGAAUUGUAUCUAGUUUGAUUAUGAUUAAAACAGGGGUAUGUCCGUUUUACGGACGGGUCAUGCCCAAAUUUUGUUAAAAAUUAAUGCAUAUGUUAUUGAUACCAUCGUUUUAAACUGCGAAAA